AACGAACGCUGGCGGCAUGCCUAACACAUGCAAGUCGAACGAGACCUUCGGGUCUAGUGGCGCACGGGUGCGUAACACGUGGGAAUCUGCCCUUUGCUUCGGAAUAACAGUUAGAAAUGACUGCUAAUACCGGAUGAUGUCGAAAGACCAAAGAUUUAUCGGCAAAGGAUGAGCCCGCGUAGGAUUAGGUAGUUGGUGGGGUAAAGGCCUACCAAGCCGACGAUCCUUAGCUGGUCUGAGAGGAUGAUCAGCCACACUGGGACUGAGACACGGCCCAGACUCCCACGGGAGGCCGCCGGGGGGAAUAAUUGGACAUGGGCCGAAGCCUGAUCCAGCAAUGCCGCGUGAGUGAUGAAGGCCUUAGGGUUGUAAAGCUCUUUUACCAGGGAUGAUAAUGACAGUACCUGGAGAAUAAGCUCCGGCUAACUCCGUG
rnacentral:rRNA from 1 species